rnacentral:tRNA from 1 species
GCCGGGAUCUCCCAGCUUGGUAGGGAGCAGGCCUGCUAAGUCUGUGACACUCCGUGUCGCGCGGGUUCAAGCUGCGGGCCAAGGCUCGCAGGCACAGACCACUGAGCCAGGGUGUGAAAAUCCCGCUCCCGGCG